CAAAGAUGUUAUAAUUAUACAUAUAUGCAGAUGUAUUUACAUUUUUGAUAAUGAUUUUUUGAUGUAUCUUUGUUAUUUAUUAUUCAUAGAAAAUACACCUGACUCCAUCCAUUGACUUCUAUAAGAAAUUAGCCUUGGACUGUUCUGGUCAACAGGUAGCUGUUGACUUAUUCCUUCUCAGUGGACAGUAUUCUGAUUUGGCUUCUCCGGGUAAGUUCUUCAUGAUUGUUUUCUUCAGUGAAUGGUGAAAUGACAUAUGACGUUAUUCUAAGUAGAAGGCAAUGUAAGAGCAUUUAUUCCCUUGAAUAAUGCCCAGGCUGGUCUCAAUUUCCCCUUCCCCCAGCCUUCUAAGCAGCUGGGGCUGCAGGUGUGCACAAUAGCCUCCUGCUGAUCAGUUUAACCAGUAAUAAAUCUUAUAGUGGGCUAUGCUAAUUUAGUAGGAGAGAAAUAGAGAAGUUUCUAUACCACUAAUGGAUUAUUCUUUUUGACAGGACCUUGAGAAGUUAGAGAAAAGCUGAGUGAAAUGCCUGCAGUUACUUUGGUGUGGUAAUAGUAGCAUCAUUUAAAAGGAGUUUGUGGGAGUGUCAGAAGGAGGAGCAUUUGGGGUUGGGAACCAGCAGGAGUCUGGAGGAUGAGAGGGACUUCCUGUCUCUGCCCAAUGUCAACCCAGAUGCCAGGUAUACAGUACAGAUGUCAGCGGAAAAGAGUCUUCCUGACAUGCAGUUGGGUUCUUUUCAGUCAGCACUCUUGUAUACAUCAAGCAAAGGUGAAAGAAGAAUACUAUCCGUACUUUGUGUUUGCCAGUAGUUUCAACUCUGAAUGA
rnacentral:lncRNA from 1 species